CGGGACCCCACCCGGUCAUUCGGUUCGGCGGACGUCCUACUGCUGUUCCAACUUCCAUCUCCGAAUCUCCGAUCGUUCGGCUUCCCACAGCCCCAAAACGAUCGAUCCUCCUGCGCAAGACGGAUGUUCCUAGCGGCUGGCUUCCUGCGCGGCCACAAGCCCACAACCACAAGACAAUCCCUUCUCCUGCGCGGCUAUUCCUGGCGACUGGCUUCCUGCGCGGCUGACCGGCUGUUCCGGGCUUCCAGCUCUCGUCUCGUCUCGCGAAAUCCGUUUCGGGCCAAGUUCCUGCCGGUUCCAAUUCCAUCAGUUCGGUUCUCGCGAUGGACCGACGGUAAACCUUUUUUGACGGCGGUUGAACAAUGACAAAUGCUGGCAGCUAACCCGCCCAGACCAAGAAGCCAAAAACCAGUACGUGAGAUGAGGCCGCUCAUGUAGUCAAGUUACGCUCGUUGACCCUGAAGACUGCGACAGUAAAAGAUCAAAUGAACUUACAGCCAAGCAAAACCCACGUGCUGCCGAUAGCCAUUGAGGUCAUGUCACAAUGAUGCCAUGCUACAAAUCCGGUGCAAGCCAGCAUAUAUAAAGAACGAAGGUAAUCUGGAAUUCAAAUGACCUCCUGUUCUGAGCAGUGCCCUAGGAAUGUGUCAACCUCAAUUUGCAACUUAAAGACAUGAGCAUCAAAACAUUGAGCAGUCGUAUCUGUACCAUAGAUUCACUUGCAUAGGAUGAAUAUUUUCCAACCGAAUCUUCAAACAUAUCGUGCUUACACGACUGCGGUACAUUUGCAACAUAUCCCCAUACUGACAAAAUAUCAGUAAGAAUCGGAUGGUCCUGCAUACAACUGAUGAUCCCUACAAUUGUAACAAGAAGCUGGCUUUGUGUUCUGUUCUGACUCUGGAGCGGUGCAUGCUCGGAUACUAUUAAAUAGUAUUAAGUUGGAUGCUUCCAAAUACAAAGGCAACUUUUACUAUCAUGGAGGGUAUCAACAUUUCAUUGCAGUAUAAUGUAGAGGCUCUAUAACCGUAUGUUUGUGGACUUGUUCCACGGGAUAUCUGGACUCACUCACAAAUGAGCAUAAUACCACUAGGCACAAGCCACUAUUGUAAGUAGUGGCAUAAAACCAUGUCAUCUGGAGAUACCUCAUGAUUUAGGAAAUAUGGACAUACAAAUUCUUCAUGAAUUCUGCAAAAGCUGAUAAGAGAAUAAAUCAGGUGUAGCUACACAUAAUCCGUGAUUGGAAUUUGCUGCAUAAGUUAUUGAUAUCAAUAUAAAUGUGCUUGGUAAUAAGUAUGAUACCUCAUAAAGCUCCAAUUAAUCGAUUAAAUAGCUCAGGUGCCUAGGAUGGAGAGGACUGACAUUGUUGCCUCAGCUUCCCAUAUUUGACCAACAGGGUUUGAUUCAGAAUAAUAAGACACAUGUUGUUCACACACUGCAGACCAUUUUAAUGAGGAAAGCGGUCUCCAAUGAUAAUUCUCUGGUCUGCAAAUACUUGCUCUCCUCUACAACAUCUGUUGUCAGGUUGAGAAUUACCGGCCUCUCUGGAUCAUAUUGAGUAAAUUCACGGACUUUUGCAACCCAUUUUGCUGCCUCCCAUACACCAAACCUAGCAUUUGGCAAAUGCAACAAAUAGUUGAAUUCAAGCAUUUGAUAAAAAGUUGAAUCAAGUACAAAUGGAAUAUAUGGAAGCAAGAAUAACUGAAUAAGAUAGCCUCUUUUUAUGUGCACAUCUUUGCCAAUCUGGUAAGGAGCAAAGAUUACAAAGUUGGAAGGUGGUUGAGUGGACUAGAAAGCAACAGAGGAGUGUCUUGGUAAUGCAUACCUUGUAUUGAAUGAUGACGUCACAAACAGAGCUGGGUAAGGAACAUCCUUCUGGAUGUUAUCAUAAGGAGAAUACUUCCUGAUUGCAAGGAAUUCCUCAUAAUCCACGGGAUACCCAAACUCUUCAUAAUCAAUGGCUGUAAGAGGUACAAUAGGAUGGAGAAGGGUGUUGCAAACAUCCAAGAAAGGGACCUGCAGGGAGAAAAUGGAAACUGGGGUAAUAGAACAGCAGCAGAAACAAAAGAAAAGAGUUGAUAACAGUGUAUCUUCAAGAUUACAGGGAAGAAAACAUGACUAUAUGGCAAUUCCAAUCUCGAAGAGGAAUCCAAGAGCUAAGUUCCCAACCUGCUACUAGAAAUGACCAUUAAUUUCUUUUAUCCAAAACUUUGAUGACAAAUAAUGAACAUAGACAGAGCUUAAAAAUAUAUUAGGGUAUAAAGCCUCUAUGCUUGCAAUAUAUGGCCUACUGAUACAUCUUUGCUUGAAACUGCAGCUUUGACCACAAAAUCAGCUACAAAAGGGCACUGCAAGUGCCAAUGCAGCCAAAAUGGCAGUUUGUAUAACAUGGAGUAAUAUUGUGCUACAAUGAGAAAAUUGCUGUCUUUUGGGCAUCUGGACUGGGGCAAAUAGCAACACAGAGGGCAAUCCCUCGAAACAAACUGGAAUUGUGGUAAAACUUUGGUUGUUACCUCCGAACCGCUCGGCCUCCUUGUUGUAAUCCACCAAUUUCUGCUCGAUGCGCUUCCCAGCCGUGAAGUCGAAACCUGCGGAGGGGUCACUGUACGAGACGAAUUCGCUAUGGAGCGCGGCGGAGCGGCGGCAGAGCACGGGGUAUUGCUUGCCCUCGUCCGCUCGUCGGUAGUACAGCCAAGGGCCCCAGCGGACGGGCGGCGUGCACGAGUCCGAGGCAAGGCAGGAGGCCAUCUCGAGCUGGAGCUUCCGGGCGAGGCGGUCAGCGCCGCAAGCGGCGAGGCAGGCCUCGGCGUACUUCUCCUCAGCCUCCAUGUGUAGGUCCAUGUGGCGCAUGGCGGCGGCGUCGGAGAGCGCGCCCAUCCAAGCAUAGCUGUCGUGCCACGUUUCCCCGUGGAUGGAGACGGGCUCGGGCUUCUGCGGCGGGCGCGGCGGGUUGGGGGGAAGGGGAGGGGGCGAUGGGGACGCUGGUUUGGCGCGGCGGUGGACGUGGCGGCGGAGGAGGAGGCGCGGGAGGAGGUCCAUGCGACCGCGCAUGGUUUAUGUGUCCCACUGUGGAAGACAGACGCCGGAGAGGUUUAGGUGGGUUUUUGGUCUUGGCAACAUCAUAUCACUGUCCAGUUGGUCGUGUCUGUGCUUUGAUGCGGUUUAUAUAUAUCAUACUAAUCGGUUGUCCGUGCGUAAACUAUCCAUCAAAAAAUUUAAGAUUUUUUA